GUCCCUGUUUUCACGAAGUGACGGAUAAGAGGAAAAUUGUCACUUUUUUCAAUUUUGAGUUUUUUGCAUUUUUGGACAUCUAUGACUUAUAUCUUGAACCUCAAAAAGUUUCAGAUCACAAUAAUGUCUAAUUACGUUGCUAUGACGACAUGACAUUCAAUAAAAUACCGGGUAAAAGGAUUUCUUGUUUUCACGAAGUGACGGAUAAGCAGCCGUCAUUACGUGAAAACAAACGAAUACGCUUUGCACUCAAAGAGUUUUUUCACGAAGUGACGGAAGGCAAAUAUUUACAGUUUGGAACAGCCGAAGACCAUGAAAUGAUGCAGUAUAUACAAUAAGUGAUGUUUCAGAGAACAAAUGAGAGAAGUCCUGGAACUGGUACACUUGCUAUUUAACAAUGCUGAUGGUCAGAUACAAUUCCAGGUUAGAUCCAGGGGCCGACACGCUUGUCAGAUGUGUCAUUGAUGAUUCCCUGAACAUCGCAGAUAUGAUCUGAUUUGGUGACAUGACAGUGGAAUUGGUAGUGACUGGAUUUUUAUAGUGUGCCCUGGUUUUGAACUAUUGAAGUAACCAAACUAGAAACAUCUUCUGAGAACUCUGACUGCAAUUCUAAUGAUGAAACUCUGUCUACACUUGUGAAAAUGUGAAGGAGUUGGCUCUACCUCGUGGCCUUUCAGGUUCAGUGCUCUCAUCUAACUUUUUCUUUUUCCAGCUGGGUAACUGAUAUCAAUUUUAAUUUUCUUUAGAUUUUGACUUCAACAUAAGUUUAGUUUUAAUUUUGAUAGGACUUUCAAAUCUGGUUUCAUUUUUAGAGCAGUGUAUUAUAUAAAGAAACUAUACUGCUUGAACUAUAAGUCUCUGCUCUUAUAGUGAUAUGAUUAUGAACUCCUUUAAAAAUAUUUU